GAUGAAGAACGCAGCGAAAUGCGAUAAGUAAUGUGAAUUGCAGAAUCCCGUGAACCAUCGAGUCUUUGAACGCAAGUUGCGCCCGAAGCCACUAGGCCGAGGGCACGCCUGCCUGGGCGUCACACGUCGUUCCCCCCCCAUCUACUCCUUCGGGAUUGCGGGGGGCGGAUGAUGGCCUCCCGUGCGCCUCGCCGCGCGGUUGGCAUAAAUACCAAGUCCUCGACGACGCACGCCACGACAAUCGGUGGUUGCGAAACCUCGGUUGCCCGUCGUGUGCGUUCGUCGCGCAUCGAGGGCUCGAAAAAAUGCUCGGCUCCGGCUCGGCUUUCAACGCGACCCCAGGUCAGGCGGGGUUACCCGCUGAAUUUAAGCAUAUCAAUAAGCGGAGGA
rnacentral:misc_RNA from 1 species